UACGGAGGGUGCAAGCGUUGUCCGGAAUCACUGGGCGUAAAGGGCGCGUAGGCGGCUCAUGAAGGCUGUGGUGAAAGUCCGGGGCUCAACCUCGGAUCGGCCGUGGCGACUCGUGGGCUGGAGCACUGUAGAGGCAGGCGGAAUUCCGGGUGUAGCGGUGGAAUGCGUAGAGAUCCGGAAGAACACCGGUGGCGAAGGCGGCCUGCUGGGCAGUUUUGCUGACACUGAGGCGCGACAGCGUGGGGAGCAAACAGG
rnacentral:rRNA from 1 species